rnacentral:rRNA from 1 species
AACGAACGCUGGCGGCGCGUAUUAAGCAUGCAAGUCGAACGGGAACCUUCCCGCAAGGGGAGGGGAGAGUGGCGAACGGGUGAGUAACACGUAGGUGAUCUAUCCCCGGGUGGGGUAUAGCCCAUGGAAACAUGGAGUAAUACCGCAUGAGGUCCUGGAGCUUGAAGGCUUCUGGAUGAAAGGCGCAAUUGUGUUGCCUGGGGAUGAGCCUGCGGCUCAUUAGCUAGUUGGUGAGGGUAAAGGACCACCAAGGCGACGAUGGGUAGCCGGCCUGGGAGGGUGUACGGCCACACUGGGACUGAGACACGGCCCAGACUCCUACGGGAGGCAGCAGCUAAGAAUCUUCCGCAAUGGGGGAAACCCUGACGGAGCGACGCCGCGUGGACGAAGAAGGCCGCAAGGUUGUAAAGUCCUUUUGCAGACGAAGAAUAAGGCUCGGAGUGGAACGCCGUGCUGAUGACGUUAGUCUGCGAAUAAGCCCCGGCCAAUUACGUGCCAGCCGCCGCGGUAACAC